AGGCAGAUCAUGGAGGACCUUGGGGGACCUCAUGGAGGACUUGGGUUUUUACCGUGAGGGAGAUGGGAACCCUGGAGGGCGGUGGGCAGAGGAAAGGAGGCUCUACUCAGGCGCCCUCUGGUGUCCACUGCAGGGAGGACAGACUGGGUGGGGGGGGGGGGGUUGAGGGCAGAAACCUGGGGACCAGGGCAGAGGUCCAGGUAAGCAGUGGUGGAGACUGAACUACGAGAGAGCCAACUCACUGUUUUUCCAACACUCUAGGCAGGGUCCUGCCUCCGGGCCUUUGCACUGGCUGUUCCAUCCACCUGGAAUGCUUUCCACCUGCCCGCCUCCCUUACUCAGUGCUUUCAGGCCUUAGUUCGGGUAUCGUCACAGUUCAGUCUUCCCUGAUGACCCGGUUUAAAAUUGCAUCCCGCUGAUAGGGCCCACCCCCCCACCCCUGCUCUGUCUCUCUCCCUAGCACUUAUCAGCAGCUGACGUCUUUACGUUGCAUCAGUUUUUUCACCUCAUCUCCUCCCCCAGGCUGUAAACUCGAUGAACACUCUAUUGUCCCUCCUGCUCUCUGCCGUGUUCCCAGUUCAGUGCCCGGCACAUAGUAGUUGGCGGAGGUGGAGGCGUGACCAAGGGGACUGGAGGUGACGGCUGAGGGAGCAGGCUGGGGCAGGAGCCCCGACUUCACUCUGGUUCCGGGCUGUGACGUCCCGGCCUGACCAGCUGAUGCCUGCUGCCCCAGACACACCUGAUCACACCCAGGGGGAGCCCCGUCCCUGACGCCCACCUGGGAUGUUGCUACUCCAGCCCAGGCAGCGGGGAGGAGCCUGUGUGACCCCGAGGCCAUGGCUCCCCGCUGGGGGCCUCCAGUGUGCAGUCUGCAGUGGGACCCCCGGUGCCAUCUUGGAAGGCUCCCGUGUGCAGCCAGAGGGUAUGAUCCGAAGAGACGCACAGAGGGGAGAGGCGAGGCGCGCGAGGACGUCAUCCCUUCACCUUGGACGUUCUCUCGGCCACACCUUUGCCCAAGCUGUGCCCCCUGCCUGAAGCACCUUUCGUGCUCCUCUCGGCCACUCCAGCUCACCUGAGAUUGCAGCCUCCUCCGGGACGUCUUCUCGGAUUCCCUUCUCACCAGUCAGUGAGCACUUUGUCCUCCUUGGGGCCCACCCCAAGCCCCCUGUACUGCGAACAGCCUUUGCGUGGGGGCCCGAGGGUGCAGCCAGUUACUGGUGAAAUCUCAAAUGGCUACUGGUGGAGACUGGGGGGACCCCAGCCCUCUCACCCCCGCAAUGGUGCCCACUCCCUCGGCGGUGUCCUCCUUCCCCUGAAUCCCACUGCCUUGUCCCUUACACGGGGUCUCCCCGUUGGGUCUGAAGGGGCCUGGUUGAAUGGGUGGGGUUGGGGGGUGCUGGGCCGCGUAGAGCCAUGAGGCACAGGUGGUGAUCACGGGGGCAUUCCAGGCGACGUGGUGUGGGAACUCUGGGGACGGGACCCUCUGGGUAGAAGGCUGGGCCCCAGCUGGACAGGAAGGGAGGGGGCUCUUGGGGACCACCCAGCUCCACUCCUCGGCCCCCACUGCGUGCCCCAGUCGGUGCCCCAUCCUCGGCCGGCCUUGACUUACUGGACACGGACCACCGCGUGGUGGCGGCUGGGAUUAUGGCCCGUUUUACAGAUGGGGUGUCCGAGGUCAUCCUUCUCGGGGCGGCUGCCCCAGCAGCCCCUGAACGGAGGGGUCCCAGCCCAGGCGGAGGUCCCUGAUGGAGGAAGGGGAGGGUUUCCUGCUUCUUGACUGAAGGUGGGGGCGGCGGCGGAAGCGGCGGGGGUGGGGGUGGGGGGGGGUGGAGGGAGCGUUUCAGGCCGUUUUGACAUUUAACAAACACUAUGCAAAUCACAUGCAAAUCACCACCCAUUUCUUAAGCCUCGACAGCUCAGGCGUGUUCUGAGAUAGUAAUGCUGGACCUGGCCGUGGCCGGUCGCCUGGGGGAGGGGUUCAAAGCCUCUCCCUUCCCCCUUCCUCCCUUCCUCCCCUCCCGUCUCCCCUCUCUCCCCCUCCUUCCCUUUCUUCCUGUUCCCACUUUUCUUCCUUCGUCACUUGGGUUGUUGGAUGCCUCCCAGUCCUGAGGCGAACGCAGAGAGCCACAGAAGCAGCUCCCCGUGUGCCCGUGUUCCAGAUGGGGAAGCGGAGCUGCAGGGAGGCACAAGCCCGGCCUGAGGUCCCAGAGCCACAUGCAGAAAGCGGUGCCCCCACCGCAUGUCGUCACGGACUAAAAUGGACAGAGCCUGUGACCCAGGAAGGAGAGGGGACAGUGGCUGGAGCCGGCAGGACUCUGAGGAGGCUCCAGGCCUGGCAAGGCUGGCAGAGCUCCGUGAAAUCAUCCUACGGUGUGGUUUGCCCUUGAGUGGCCACCGCGACCUUGGAUCUGGAGAAACCUGGCACCGCCCGAUUCUACCCCUCGGGUCCUCACUCCGUCAGCAUGGCCUUUGAAUUCCGCCCCCCUCCAGCUGGCAUGCCCUGCCUUCUCUGUUUGGCAAACUCCUAGUCAUCCUGCAAAGCCCAGCUACAGCGCCCCCUUGUUGGUGCGGUCAUUUCUGAUCCUCCACGAAGAGUCUCUGUUUCCCUCUGGGCCUCUGUUACCCUAGGUCUCUCUCUGGUCCAGCCCUGACCCCUUGAGGCCUGUAGGGUCACUGCCCACUCGGGCGCAGCUCUGGCACCUGCCUGGGAAUGACGCGGCUCCAGACCUUUGCAUGUGCACACUCUGUGCCCAGAAUGCCCUUUCUGGUCUGUUCCACCUGGCACGCUCCUACACGCUCAAGGUCCUCGCGCGAAUGCCCCACCGCUGUGCGCGCUCUGCCGUGCUCCCGGUCGGCCUCCGGGUCCUGCAGCCUCCAAUCCCACUGGGCUGGGCUUCGUGCGUGGAACUAGGGGGUGUCUCCCUCCUCCCAGCCUGACAGAUCCUGCCUGGGGCCCCGGGAUCACAUCAGCAGGUUGGGACCGGGCAGAGAAGGGCCCUCUUGGCGUGUGUAUGAAUAAAAGAUCACGUGAAAACAA